AUCGGUAGACGCUACGGACUUUUCAAGUCCCUCUACCCCCA
rnacentral:tRNA from 1 species